rnacentral:snRNA from 1 species
UCCGGCGUCUUUCCGUGGAAAU